rnacentral:rRNA from 1 species
GACGAACCACACGAACGUUAUUCGGAAUUACUGGGCUUAAAGGGUGCGUAGGCGGCGCGGUAAGUAGGGUGUGAAAUCCCUCGGCUCAACCGAGGAACUGCGCUCUAAACUACCGUGCUCGAGGGAGAUAGAGGUGAGCGGAACUUAGGGUGGAGCGGUGAAAUGCGUUGAUAUCCUAAGGAACACCGGUGGCGAAAGCGGCUCACUGGAUCUCUUCUGACGCUGAGGCACGAAAGCUAGGGUAGCGAACGGG